AGCCACCGUGAAAAUGGGCAAAGAGACACCUUGUUGGUGGUGGUAUUUUUAAUAUCAGUCAGAGGCAGAGCAGUUGGCAGUCCUUUGUUCAUCCCGGCCUGAUGCCUGGCUUGGUGGCCAAAGCUGCUUUAUGCCUACGACACAAAA